UGAGCAACCUGCCCUGGACUCUGGGAUAAGCGCUGGAAACGGUGUCUAAUACUGGAUAUGAGCUCUCAUCGCAUGGUGGGGGUUGGAAAGAUUUUUUGGUCUGGGAUGGGCUCGCGGCCUAUCAGCUUGUUGGUGAGGUAAUGGCUUACCAAGGCGUCGACGGGUAGCCGGCCUGAGAGGGUGACCGGCCACACUGGGACUGAGACACGGCCCAGACUCCUACGGGAGGCAGCAGUGGGGAAUAUUGCACAAUGGGCGGAAGCCUGAUGCAGCAACGCCGCGUGAGGGAUGACGGCCUUCGGGUUGUAAACCUCUUUUAGCAGGGAAGAAGCGUGAGUGACGGUACCUGCAGAAAAAGCGCCGGCUAACUACGUGCCAGCAGCCGCGGUAAUACGUAGGGCGCAAGCGUUAUCCGGAAUUAUUGGGCGUAAAGAGCUCGUAGGCGGUUUGUCGCGUCUGCUGUGAAAUCCCGAGGCUCAACCUCGGGUCUGCAGUGGGUACGGGCAGACUAGAGUGCGGUAGGGGAGAUUGGAAUUCCUGGUGUAGCGGUGGAAUGCGCAGAUAUCAGGAGGAACACCGAUGGCGAAGGCAGAUCUCUGGGCCGUAACUGACGCUGAGGAGCGAAAGGGUGGGGAGCAAACAGGCUUAGAUACCCUGGUAGUCCACCCCGUAAACGUUGGGAACUAGUUGUGGGGACCAUUCCACGGUUUCCGUGACGCAGCUAACGCAUUAAGUUCCCCGCCUGGGGAGUACGGCCGCAAGGCUAAAACUCAAAGGAAUUGACGGGGACCCGCACAAGCGGCGGAGCAUGCGGAUUAAUUCGAUGCAACGCGAAGAACCUUACCAAGGCUUGACAUACACCAGAACACCGUAGAAAUACGGGACUCUUUGGACACUGGUGAACAGGUGGUGCAUGGUUGUCGUCAGCUCGUGUCGUGAGAUGUUGGGUUAAGUCCCGCAACGAGCGCAACCCUCGUUCUAUGUUGCCAGCACGUUAUGGUGGGAACUCAUGGGAUACUGCCGGGGUCAACUCGGAGGAAGGUGGGGAUGACGUCAAAUCAUCAUGCCCCUUAUGUCUUGGGCUUCACGCAUGCUACAAUGGCCGGUACAAAGGGCUGCAAUACCGUGAGGUGGAGCGAAUCCCAAAAAGCCGGUCCCAGUUCGGAUUGAGGUCUGCAACUCGACCUCAUGAAGUCGGAGUCGCUAGUAAUCGCAGAUCAGCAACGCUGCGGUGAAUACGUUCCCGGGUCUUGUACACACCGCCCGUCAAGUCAUGAAAGUC
rnacentral:rRNA from 1 species